AUGACUCUCGAUAACGGAUAUCUUGACUCUCGUAUGGAUAAAUAACGUAGUGAAAUGCGAUACUUGGUGUGAAUUGAAGAAUCCCAUGAACCAUCGAGUCUUUGAAUGUAAGUUGUGUCCCAUUCCAUUAGGCAAGUGAAUAUCUGCCUCGGUGUCACGCAUUGUUACCCCAAUCUAAACCCCAAACAUAAGGUAUCAGCCGAGGUAUGGGUAUAAAUUAUCCUCCGGUGCACAAACUUCUCAUGGUUGGUAAAAAAUUAAGUACACGGUGUCGCAGUGCCGCGAUGAUUGGUGGUAAUGUCUUAAGAAACCUCAUUCUGAGUCAUGCACACUCUUCUAUAUAGAUUCUCUAACUCUCAUGGCAUCACACUUGCGGUGUUCAUAUCGUGAUCCCAGGUUAGGCAAGAUUACCUGCCGAAUUAAAUCAUAUCAAUAAGAAGAGGAAAAAAAACUUACUAGGAUUCCAUUAGUAAUGGAAAACGAACCUGGAAUAGCCCAGCUUGAUAAUUGGUCACCCUCUGCGUUUAAAUUGUUGUCUGGAGAAGCUUCCUCAGUAACAGUCGAGGCCCAGGUCCCCUGGAAAAAGGUGCUAUAGAGGGUGAGAGCCCUGUCGUGCCCAGACCCUGUCACACCACCAGGCACUGUCUAUGAGUCUAGUUGUUUGUGAAUAUAACCCUAAUCAGACAGUAAAUACCAUCCAAGACUAAAUACGAGUUAGAGGCCGAUAGAGAACAAGUAUCGUGAGGGAAAAAUGAAAAGGACUUUGAAGAGAGAGUCCAAGAGUGCUUACAAUUAUUGGGAGGAAAGCAUAUGGGGGCUAGCAAUGCACCCCGAUCGAAUGUGGAACGAUGAUAGCAAGUCCGUUGACCGGCUCGAGGCGUGGACCGACGUAGACCAUAAUGGCGGCCCAAGCCUGGGCCUUCGAUACACCUAUGGAGAUAUCAUCACCUCGAUCAUGGAACCCAGCAUGUCCUAUCUCAGCGUUCUUUGGUAUCAGCGUGCUUAGGUGGGGCGAAGCCAGAUGAAAUUUUGGUGGAUACCCACAGUGAUACUGAUGUGCAAAUCAUUCGUUGGACUUGGGUAUAGGGGUGAAAGACUAAUCGAACCAUUUAGUAGCUGGUUCCCUCUGAAGUUUCCCUCAAGAUAACUGGAGCCCUUAGUGAGUUCUAUCAUGUAAAUCCAAUGAUUAGAGGCAUCAGGGGCACAACACCCUCAACCUAUUCUAAAACUUUAAAUUGGUUAGAUGGUGCGACUGCUUCAUUGAGCCAUGCCAUGAAAUCGAGAGCUCCAAGUGGGCCAUUUUUGGUAAGCAAAGCUGGGGACGUGGGAUGAAAUGGAAGCUGGGUUAUGGUGCAAAACUAUGCGUUAACCUAGAACCCACAAAGGGUGUUGGUCAAUUAAGACAACAUGAUGGUAUUCAUGUAAGUCAAAAUCUGCUAAGGAGUGUGUAACUACUCACUUGUCUAAUCAACUAGCAUAAAAAAUGUAUGGAGCGUAAGUGUGUGACCUAUACCCAACUUUCAGGGCAAAUCUAGGCCUUGAUGAGUAGGAGGACGUAACAACCAUCGUAAAACUUAGGAGUGAGCCUGGGCUGAGCGGCUGUCGGUGUAGAUCUUGGUGGUUGUAGCAAAUAUUCAAAUGAGAACUUUGAAGGCCGAAACGGGGAAAGGUUCUAUGUACACUACACUUGUACAUGGGCUAGUCGAUCCUAAGAGAAGGGUAAACCCGUCUGAUAGUGCGUUCCACUUGAGCUUCUAAAGGGAAUCGAAUUAAAAUGAUUGAACAUGAAUACGACGACUGACGAUAACGUUAGGGAGUCCAGAGACAUAAGUGGGGGCCUUUAGAAUAGUUAUCUGUUCUGUUUAACAUCCUACCCACCUAGAAAAUGACUCAUUUGGAGGUAGGAUCUAGCGACUAAAAGAGAACCGUACAUCGUGUGGUGUCCAGUGUACCCCAGGUGACCCUUGAAUAUCCAGAGAACCGAGUGUCGUCCAUGCCCAGUCGUACUUAUAACCGUAUCAGGUCUCCAAGGUGAAUAGCCUCUAGUCGAUGGAAAAAUGUAGGUAAGGCAAGUAAGCAAAAUGGAUUUGUAACCUCGGGAAAACUAUUGGCUCUAAGGGCAGGGCAUAGGGCUUCCAAUUCCGAACACAUUGGCUUCUAGUGCACUGGUAGAGCUACUCCCUUAAGGUAACCAAAUACCUCGUCAUCUAAUUAGUUACAUGCAUGAAUGGAUUAACAAGAUUCCUAGUAACCAUGUCUACUAUCCAGAGAAACCACAACCAAGGGAACGAGCUUGGCAUAAUCAGUGGGAAAAGAAGACCUUGUUGAGCUUGACUCUAGUCCGACUUUGUGAAAUGAGAGGUGUAGGAUAAGUGGGAGCUCUUGGGAAAAAUUGAAAUACCACUACUUUUAACGUUAUUUUACUUAUUUUGUAAAUCAAAAGUAGGGCACGACCCACUUUUUAGACCAAAGAGACAUAAAGACCACUUCACAUUGGAAGUAAAAAAAGAGAUCCCAAGAUUCAACUAUUUAAGGACAUCUGACGCCAUCCAAUGUGAAAAAGUACACUGGCAACUUAGGGAGUACGACUCAAGAAAAAUGAAUAAAUGAAUUCAGUCGGUUGAUUUGGGUAGAAGACAUUGUCAAGUGGGGAGUUUGGCUGGGGCGACACAUCUGUUAAAAGAUAACACAAGUGUCCUAAGAUGAGCUCAACGAGAAAAAAUCUCGUAUAGAACAAAAGGGUAAAAACUCAUUUGAUUAUAAUUUCCAGUACGAAUAUAAACCAUGAAAGCAUGGCCUAUCGAUCCUUUAGACCUUCGAAAUUUGAAGCUAGAGGUGUGAGUAAAGUUACCACAGGGACAACUGGCUUGUGGCAGCCAAGUGUCAAUAGCGAUGUUACUUUGUGAUCCUUCGAUCUUGGCUCUUAUUAUUAUUGGAAAGCAGAAUUCACCAAGUGUUGGAUUGUUCACCCACUAAUAGGGAAAAUGAGCUGUUUUUAGACCAUCGUGAGACAUGUUAGUUUUACCCUAUUAAUGGCCGCAUCGUAAUAGUAAUUCAACCUAGUAUGAGAGGAACCAUUGACUCGCACAAUUGGUCAUCACGCUUGGUUAAAAUGUGGCAUGAAGCUACUGUGUAUUGAAUUGGAUUAUGGCCGAACGCCUCUAUGUCAGAAUCUGGGCUACAAGCGAUGCAUGCGACUGUUAACCAAUUGUUGACCCGCAGUAGAGGCCUCGACCCCCAAGGGCACUUGUCGUGGGUGCAACACGCGCGUUGGACAAGUCGUGUGUGCCUCCCUAGAAUAUACUUUCUACCUAGCGACGGGGUUUUGUAAGUGGUAGAGUGGCUUUGCUACCACGAUCUACUGAGAUUCAACCUUUUGUUGCUUUGAUUUAUCCCUCCCCUAUCA
rnacentral:rRNA from 1 species